GACGAACGCUGGCGGCGUGCUUAACACAUGCAAGUCGAGCGGUAAGGCCCUUUCGGGGGUACACGAGCGGCGAACGGGUGAGUAACACGUGGGUGACCUGCCCUUAGCUCUGGGAUAAGCCUGGGAAACUGGGUCUAAAUACCGGAUAUGACUCCAUGACGCAUGUUGUGGGGUGGAAAGCCUUGUGCGGCUAGGGGAUGGGCCCGCGGCCUAUCAGCUUGUUGGUGGGGUGAUGGCCUACCAAGGCGACGACGGGUAGCCGGCCUGAGAGGGCGACCGGCCACACUGGGACUGAGACACGGCCCAGACUCCUACGGGAGGCAGCAGUGGGGAAUCUUGCGCAAUGGGCGAAAGCCUGACGCAGCGACGCCGCGUGAGGGAUGACGGCC
rnacentral:rRNA from 1 species